UAGCUUAGUCGGUAGAGUAUGAGACUCUUAAUCUCAGGGUCGUGGAUUCGAACCCCAC
rnacentral:tRNA from 1 species